GUAUGUNNNNGCCAGGGCUUUUAUUUUUAUACUUUAAACUUUGAUUUUAUUUUUAUGUUUUUUAAAUAUUGGUGUUUUUGAAUGUGUUGUUUAAAUAACAUACAAAAUAAAAUAUAUAUUGACAUGUAUUAAACAAAGAUAUAUAUUAUUUUAUGUUGUAUAAAUAAAUUGGCAAAAUAGAGAUGGAAGAUAAAAAUAUGGUCAAAGUAAUAAGAGUCUAUGGUGAAUGCCUAGGA
rnacentral:misc_RNA from 1 species